rnacentral:rRNA from 1 species
AGCGAACGCUGGCGGCGUGCCUAACACAUGCAAGUCGAACGUGAAAAGGGGCAACCCUGAGUAAAGUGGCGUACGGGUGAGUAACACGUAGGUAAUCUACCCUAAAGUCUGGAAUAACCGGCCGAAAGGCUGGCUAAUACUGGAUAGAGCGACGGAAUCCGUAAUUGGGUUUUUCGGGAAAGGGAGGCAGCAAUGCCCUUCGCUUUAGGAUGAGCCUGCGUCCCAUCAGGUAGUUGGCAGGGUAACGGCCUACCAAGCCUAUGACGGGUAGCUGGUCUGAGAGGAUGAUCAGCCACACUGGAACUGAAACACGGUCCAGACUCCUACGGGAGGCAGCAGUGGGGAAUCUUGCGCAAU